GACGAGGGGUCCAAGCGUUGUUCGGAAUUAUUGGGCGUAAAGCGGGUGUAGGUGGCUCUAUAAGUCAGGAGUGAAAUCCCCGAGCUCAACUUGGGAAGUGCUUCUGAUACUGCAGAGCUUGAAUGUGGGAGAGGGUAGUAGAAUUCCAGGUGUAGUGGUGAAAUACGUAGAUAUCUGGAGGAAUACCGGUGGCGAAGGCGGCUACCUGGCCCAACAUUGACACUGAGACCCGAAAGCGUGGGGAUCAAACAGG
rnacentral:rRNA from 1 species